ACCCGCACGAGCAGCGGAGCGUGUGGUUUAAUUCGUUGCUACACGAAGAACCUUACCUGGGUUUGACAUAUAGGUUGUAGGGAACUGAAAAGGGACCGACCCUUCGGGGAGCCUAUACAGGUGUUGCAUGGCUGUCGUCAGCUCGUGUCGUGAGAUGUUCGGUUAAGUCCGCUAACGAGCGCAACCCUCGUCGUAUGUUAUAUGUGUCAUACGAGACUGCCGGUAAAAGCCGGAGGAAGGUGAGGAUGAUGUCAAGUCAGCAUGACCUUUAUAUCCAGGGCUACACACACGCUACAAUGGUCUGUACAAUGGGUAGCCAAGCCGCGAGGCGGAGCCAAUCCUGAAAGCAGGCCUCAGUUCAGAUUGCAGUCUGCAACUCGACUGCAUGAAGCCGGAGUUGCUAGUAACCGCAGGUCAGCAAUACUGCGGUGAAUACGUUCCCGGGUCUU
rnacentral:rRNA from 1 species